UUUCAGACUAACAUCCCAAAUCAGUCUUUAAUAAAGAACAACAGGACCAAGGGACAAACAAGGGCAUACAUAAAAAUGAAAAGAACAAAGGUGAAGAUAUUUAAAGGAUAUAUUAUGGCUUGAUUCAAUCGAAAGAAACUGGGAAGGAAUUUUCAUCGAUAGAUAUCAGUCACGAGUAUUUAUCCUUUUGGUAAUACUAAGGUAUACGCUGAACAAUAAUGUUACGGAUUUUCCACACCCUAGGGGAGUUCUAGCUCUUACUUGAACAAACAAUGCAUGUCAAGCCAAAAACAAUAUUGAUACAUUAUGUGGGAAAUGUAAUGAAAUUACAAGGUUUUUCAGUCGAACUUAAGGUCCCUGGUUAUAUAAUAUAUAAAUCAGUGUUGUAUUAUUUAAAUUAAACAAUGAAAAGACA